UGCCGGGUCCUACGCGGCGCAACCCCGCCAACCCCGCCAGGUCCGGAAGGAAGCAACGGUAACGGGUAUGUGCGCGCGCAGUGGGUCACCCGGUACUUU
rnacentral:SRP_RNA from 1 species